rnacentral:rRNA from 1 species
GAACGCUAGCGGCAGGCCUAAUACAUGCAAGUCGAACGGGAUCCAGGUGUUAGCUUGCUAACAUCUGGUGAGAGUGGCGCACGGGUGCGUAACGCGUGAGCAACCUACCCAUAUCAGGGGGAUAGCCCGAAGAAAUUCGGAUUAACACCGCAUAAGACUACGAGAUGGCAUCAUCAAGUAGUUAAAUAUUUAUAGGAUAUGGAUGGGCUCGCGUGACAUUAGCUAGUUGGUGAGGUAACGGCUCACCAAGGCGACGAUGUCUAGGGGCUCUGAGAGGAGAAUCCCCCACACUGGUACUGAGACACGGACCAGACUCCUACGGGAGGCAGCAGUAAGGAAUAUUGGUCAAUGGACGGAAGUCUGAACCAGCCAUGCCGCGUGCAGGAUGACUGCCCUAUGGGUUGUAAACUGCUUUUGUCGAGGAAUAAACCUAUCUACGUGUAGAUAGCUGAAUGUACUCGAAGAAUAAGGAUCGGCUAACUCCGUGCCAGCAGCCGCGGUAAUACGGAGGAUCCGAGCGUUAUCCGGAUUUAUUGGGUUUAAAGGGUGCGUAGGCGGCACUUUAAGUCAGGGGUGAAAGACGGCAGCUUAACUGUCGCAGUGCCUUUGAUACUGAAGUGCUUGAAUGCGGUUGAAGACGGCGGAAUGAGACAAGUAGCGGUGAAAUGCAUAGAUAUGUCUCAGAACACCGAUUGCGAAGGCAGCUGUCUAAGCCGUUAUUGACGCUGAUGCACGAAAGCGUGGGGAUCGAACAGGAUUAGAUACCCUGGUAGUCCACGCCCUAAACGAUGAUAACUCGAUGUUUGCGAUAUACCGUAAGCGUCCAAGCGAAAGCGUUAAGUUAUCCACCUGGGGAGGUACGCCCGCAAGGGG